UACGUAGGGUGCAAGCGUUAUUCGGAAUUACUGGGCGUAAAGCGUUCGCAGGCGGUUUUGCAAGACAGAUGUGAAAUCCCCGGGCUCAACCUGGGAACUGCAUUUGUGACUGCAAGGCUAGAAUCUGGCAGAGGGGGGUAGAAUUCCACGUGUAGCAGUGAAAUGCGUAGAUAUGUGGAGGAAUACCGAUGGCGAAGGCAGCCCCCUGGGCUAAGAUUGACGCUCAUGCACGAAAGCGUGGGGAGCAAACAGG
rnacentral:rRNA from 1 species